UACAGAGGGUGCGAGCGUUAAUCGGAGUUACUGGGCGUAAAGCGUGCGCAGGCGGUUUUGUAAGCCAGAUGUGAAAUCCCCGGGCUUAACCUGGGAAUGGCAUUUGGGACUGCAAGGCUUGAGUGCGGCAGAGGAGACUGGAAUUCCUGGUGUAGCAGUGAAAUGCGUAGAUAUCGUGAGGAAGACCAGUGGCGAAGGCGGGUCUCUGGACAGUUCCUGACGCUGAGGCGCGAAGGCCAGGGGAGCAAACGGG
rnacentral:rRNA from 1 species